rnacentral:rRNA from 1 species
ACAGAUAAGGAGCUUGCUCCUUUGACGUUAGCGGCGGACGGGUGAGUAACACGUGGGUAACCUACCUAUAAGACUGGGACAACUUCGGGAAACCGGAGCUAAUACCGGAUAAUAUGUUGAACCGCAUGGUUCAAUAGUGAAAGAUGGUUUUGCUAUCACUUAUAGAUGGACCCGCGCCGUAUUAGCUAGUUGGUGAGGUAACGGCUCACCAAGGCAACGAUACGUAGCCGACCUGAGAGGGUGAUCGGCCACACUGGAACUGAGACACGGUCCAGACUCCUACGGGAGGCAGCAGUAGGGAAUCUUCCGCAAUGGGCGAAAGCCUGACGGAGCAACGCCGCGUGAGUGAUGAAGGUCUUAGGAUCGUAAAACUCUGUUAUUAGGGAAGAACAAACGUGUAAGUAACUGUGCACGUCUUGACGGUACCUAAUCAGAAAGCCACGGCUAACUACGUGCCAGCAGCCGCGGUAAUACGUAGGUGGCAAGCGUUAUCCGGAAUUAUUGGGCGUAAAGCGCGCGUAGGCGGUUUUUUAAGUCUGAUGUGAAAGCCCACGGCUCAACCGUGGAGGGUCAUUGGAAACUGGAAAACUUGAGUGCAGAAGAGGAAAGUGGAAUUCCAUGUGUAGCGGUGAAAUGCGCAGAGAUAUGGAGGAACACCAGUGGCGAAGGCGACUUUCUGGUCUGUAACUGACGCUGAUGUGCGAAGGCGUGGGGAUCAAACAGGAUUAGAUACCCUGGUAGUCCACGCCGUAAACGAUGAGUGCUAAGUGUUAGGGGGUUUCCGCCCCUUAGUGCUGCAGCUAACGCAUUAAGCACUCCGCCUGGGGAGUACGACCGCAAGUUG